UGAACAUAGAUUCCUUCAGUAAAUAUUGGGAAAACAUUUGCUUCAGGCCCAUUACUGGGUACCACUUUGAUACAGAGGACACAUCAAGGAACAAGACAGAUAGGACCUCUGCCUCUGGUAAGUUUGCAUUCCAGAGGGAGGAGAAGACAAUGAGCAAGCAAGCCAUCAAGACCACGUCAGAUGAGACGAAUAAAGUCAGAUAGCUUCCAAGGAGUGGAUGCUUAUGGAGAGAUCACAUGGAGCCUUGUAGCUGAUUUAUAAUCUCAUGGUCCUCAUUCAUGCAUCAAACCCCUGAAGGCCUGGCAUUUUUAUCUCCCGACUCAACCUGCAUGCUACCAGAAGCUCGACAAAAUUACGCCUGUUUAGGAAAAGACUGGAGGAAUUCGUGGAGGAAUUCUUGGAGGGGGAACACUGAAGUCCGGUGAAUGGCCCUACAAAAACACUUGAAGGGAUUGGGUUCCAGCAAGAAGAGGAGAUUGGCAUCUAAUUUCCUGUUGGGUUAUGCUUAUACAGCAGUCUCUGAUCUAUAUUCUGUGACUAUUGAGAAGGAGCAAAGGCUAUUGGAGGAAGGUGAUGGAGUGAAAAAGGGAAAGCAGUUGAGCUUCCUACAUGCUCCAUGCUGUGGCAAGAAAAAAAAUGUGUAAGUUUCCACUAGGUCAAGAGCUGUCUUGUUGCUUAUGGGGCCCAGCCCUAGAGGGGAGGAAGGCUCUUAGGGACAAGAGAGUGAAGGGUGAACCAUGAGUGGGGCAGCUGUUUAGGUUAGAAGUUAGAAGUCUUCCUGAAUGGAACUCAUCUCCCAUGUUAAGAGCUGGGACUUCUGUAGACCCCAUUUGUGCCCCCACUAGACAGUCAGUCCCUGGAUGCCUGCCUUACAAGGGGCAUCCACUGGCAAGAGAGGAUUGCAGUAGCAUUUCAUCAAUAUGAGAAUUUAUGAAUUCAUGUCCUUCUUUCCACCAACACCCAUCCAAGGAAAAGGAGGUGUAAAAAAGAAGGAGGAAGUAGAGAAGAGUGAAAAAGCUGACCUUGUUUUUCCUUUUCUUUUUUUCUUUUUUUUUUUUUUGUGACAGAGUCUCGCUCUGUCACCCAGACUGGAGUGCAGUGGUGCGAUCUCGACUCACUGCAAGCUCUGCCGCCUGGGUUCACGCCAUUCUCCUGCCUCAGCCUCCCGAGUAGCUGGGACUGACUACAGGUACCCGCCACCACACCCUACUAGUUUUUUUUUUUUUUUGUAUUUUUAGUAGAGACGGGGUUUCACCGUGUUAGCCAGGAUGGUCUCAAUCUCCUGACCUCGUGAUCCGCCCGCCUCGGCCUCCCAAAGUGCUGAGAUUACAGGCGUAAGUCACCGCGCCUGGCCAAAAGCUGACCUUCUAUUCACUUCCUGUUUCAAGGAUGGGACAACUGGAGGGAUAGCUCUUUCAUCCUCCAGCAGGCUAGUCUGUGUAUGUUGUAAUAACAAUGGCAGAGGUUCAAGCUCUUUUCAAGCCACUGACUGCAUCACAUCUGCUUGGAGAAAGCAAGUCACAUAGCUGAGCCUAGAAUCCAAAAGAGAGGACACCACACAGUGACAUGAUCAAGGGCAUGAAUACAGAGCGGGUAAAGUACUGGGGUUGUUGGUGCAUCUACCACAGCGGUUGUGGAGGUAAGUGGAAGAGUGGGACCAAACCAGGUUUGGCUUGCCUCUGAGGCCUGUGGUCUUCCUCUAGGCUCAGCUGGCUCCCUUGUACCCUUGGAUACAUCUUACAUGAUCAAGGCACGUGUUCCAAGUAGGACAAUGGCAUGACAUAUGGAUAAUACAAGGUCCAAAGCUAACAAAGUUGCUCUUUGGGUUCCCUCUCCCCUGGUGGGUUUCAUUUCCUGAGUGCAUUAGUGUCUUUGCUGCUUUGGCAGAGAGCUGAGAUGAUUCUUGGGAUUGUACUUCUGGAGACUGGCCAGUUUGCACACUUCCAGCAUUGUCGGCCAGCUCAGACACCAUAUGGACCAGUGCUGUGGCAUUGGGUACCAGGCUUUCCUGGACAUCUUCGAAUUGGCCACUUUCCAUUGCCAAUGAGUAGAGUGCUCAAAAAAGUCGGUUAAAUUAGGCUUGGUAAAGGGACACUGCAUCUUUGAGUAAUGAGGUUGGGAAACAGGGAAAACAUUUUCCACUAGCUCAUGGCUCACUGUAUGGCAUUCCGGUUUCAUGACACUUCAUAAUAAAUCAUUGCUUAUCACUCACAUGGGAACGGAACAUGGCUCCAGUUAAGAUUCGUUAGUGAUUGUAAAGAAGCAACGUGGAUUGCUGUAUAUCAGGACUUCUUGAUCAUCUUCCUGUCCACUGUAGGCACUUUUCUAUCGUUAUAUUUACCGUAACUGUUGUUUAAAGCAUAAAUAAGUGGAAGGAAAGAGCACCCAAUAUGAAUAAUGAAAAUAAAUUUAUCUUAUUUAUGUGUUUAUGCAAGCAUUUGAUAAUUAUUCUGCACAGCAGUUUGCAUCCAGGAUUGGUAGCUGCUGCAUCCAGAAAAGUUCCUUACACUUCAAGUUUCUCCCUCUCAUCCCUCCUGCCUUUAUUUUUUUAAUAAUGUGAAAUGCCAGCACAUUCACAUUCAAGAAUGGGAGGCCCUGGCAUGUGUUUUAUUCAAGUUUGAGGCAUCAGGUUACUGAACCACAUCGGCCUCAAUGCUCAUGACAGAGGCCUACCAGCAGACAUGUUCGUUACAUGCAAUUCAUUCAGAUCCGGAGGAGCAAGGGACAGUGAUUUAGAAUAGAAAAAGGAGCCACGGGUUGGGCUGGGGGGCCAAGUGGCAAAAUAAAACCUUUAAUUUAAAGAUGCUCCAGCUGGUUGGCCACUUGGGAUGAAUGAAGACUUUGGUAGGAAAGUCCUAGCUGUCCAAGCAGACCACCCUGGGAGGUUUGUGAUUUACACACCAAAGGUUACAGGGCUUGUGGACACUUUGACAUACCCUAGAAACUUCCCGGGCUAGAAUGUCCAUGGAGAAAAGACUCAGCGGGUUUGCACAGUUGAGGAGGCUUUCAGUGUUUACUUACGGAUGAACAGGAAAACACAAGCCUGUCCUUGAAAUGCUGACAGGGCUCUCGUGAUUAACUCCUGCCAAAUUGAUUUCCCUAGCUCCCCUCCCACAUGUGUGGGCCUCUCUCAAUCCCUUCCUGGUGAUUCCCAGCACACUGCAGUACUGGCACUGGAGGACUCACUCUCUCCUUUUCUUGCCUGUUCCCUCGGUGCCCACUCCUCCCCUGUCCCCGGCACUCACCUAAUAGAGACACAGUUGGGAAGGGGGUAGCCACCAGUGGCUCUCUGACUAGUGUCCGUGGAGUUGAGGUGGAGCCGUGUGUGGAGGGAGAGCAUUGUCUGGCAGCAACUUUUGUUUCUUGAGAGUUUCCAGAAUAUGCUAGAAUGUGCUACAGAGAACCACGACUAAUCAGCAAACAGAGCUCAGAAUGGAAGAUGGAGAAGGUUCUCAGGGAAACUGGGGCUUCAGUGAACCAUGGCCUGUCCAAUUCUUGGGCUGAAGAGAUUUGUUCAAACAUAGGGUGACUUCUCAUCCUGGUUUUAGUCCCUUGUCCUGGGAAAUGCCUCAGUCCCGGGAAAACUAUGAUGGCUGGCCACCGUACUUAAACUCUAGAGGGACGAUUCCCAGGGACGCGUUCCCUCUCUCCAAACCUCUCUUCAGUGUUGACGGUGCCUUGGUUCCCCCAUCCACUCUGCGAAUGCCCUUGGAACACACCAGGCCUAGCUCUCCACGGGUUUCAACGGGCAGUAGCCACCAUUGGUGGAGAGACUUCUGGGUCUCCAGCUUCAUGGGUACUUUCAGCUAAUUAUUUCUGCUCCUCAGACCUACCCUACAAAGUGUGUAUAACUGGCUCAUUUUACGGAUGCAGAAACUAUGGCUCAGAGGGCAUUCAGUGAUUUGUUCAAGUUCUCCCAGCAGAGCUACUUGGGUGUGACUGCAAAGCCCCUUCCUCAUGGAAAUGAUGUACAUUCACAGCCAUUAACUUGCUUUAAGCCUUAGAAUGACAUUUGAGCAUGGGUGAGACAGAUGAUACCUGAAGAUCGGAGAGUCUAGGUAGCUUAAUCAAGGCCACCCAGGGCUCAUGAAUGGAAGAAUCGGGGUUAAAGGAUUCUAAAUCUAUGUUGCCCUUUGCAUGGACAUCUCUUUCUUCCUUCAUGUGGAAGAAAAUGGAGGCCAGAAUUUCUUGAAUUUUUCUCCUAUUUAGAGUUGAUCAAGAUGCAGUCUAAACUGUCCUAGUUCAUAUUUGAAUAUUUUAAAGUGUGUUGAUUAUACAUUAAAACGGUACUUCCCAUGUUUUCUAAAUAUUUGAAAGAUCCCUCUUAAACAUCAUGGCAGAAAUAUUAAGCUCACUUAUCAGAGUUAUAAAGGGUUUUAAAAAAUAUAUAUUUCAUGGCAUUUCAAGCAAUUGAUGACACCAGUUGGGGGAAGACAAGAGGGUGACCACUUGUAUGCAGAAAAAAAAUACUGGCAAGAAAAUGUGGCAAGUGCUUCCAGUAAAGACGCUUCUUUGGAAUUAAAUGGUGAUGGAUGUUUAGAAACCA